GUGAAACAACAUAAGCACAUUCAAUAUUAUAUAUAGAGAGGAAAAUUCUGGGUGCCCAAAUCCGUGAACUUUCUCUCUCUGUAGUAGCCACUAGCUAGUGACUUCACUUUCUUCGGUUAGUUGCAGAAACAAAACCCAAGAAAAAGAAAAUGGGUUUUGUCGCAAAAAUGGUCAUAGUUCCUCUAUUCUUGCUACCUUUGUUGAGCUCAUGCAUUGUUAAUGCUAAUUUCUCAACAACACUUCAAGGUCCCUUUAGUCCUGUGACUGUUCCCCUUGACAACAAGACCAACCAUGGCAAUGCCAUAGACUUGCCUGAUACUUAUCCUCAACUUCAAAACAAUGUUAAUGGUUAUGACCCUCAACAAAUUUCAGUCUCCCUCUCUUAUAAUUACGACUCUGUUUGGAUCUCUUGGGUUACAGGGGAUUUCCAAAUUGGCGAUGACAUAACACCAUUAGAUCCUUCAUCAGUUUCUAGUGUUGUUCAAUAUGGGAUCUUGGGCUCACCAAUUAGUUAUGAAGCAAUAGGCUAUUCACUUGUCUAUGAUCAAAUUUAUCCUUUUGAAGGCCUUCAAAAUUACACCUCUGGCAUCAUACACCACGUUCGCCUUACAGGACUGGAACCUGGUGCACUGUAUCAAUAUCAAUGUGGAGAUCCUUCUAUACCAGCAACAAGCGCUAUCUUUUAUUUUAGAACUAUGCCAGUCUCCAGUCCCACGAAUUAUCCUAGCAGAAUAGCAGUGGUGGGAGACCUAGGUCUUACUUACAAUACCAGUUCAACACUCAAUUACUUGCUCAGUAAUCAUCCUGAUCUUUUUGUUUUGGUUGGGGGUGUAAGUUAUGCUGACACGUAUCUCUCCAAUGGAACUGGUUCUGAUUGUUACUCUUGCUCAUUUCCACAAACUCCCAUCCACGAAACUUAUCAGCCGCGUUGGGAUUAUUGGGAAAGGUUCAUGCAACCUCUGGUGGCUAAUGUUCCAACAAUGGUGGUAGGAGGGAAACAUGAAUUAGAGCGACAGGCUGAAGAUGAAGUUUUUGUUGCUUAUAGUUCUCGAUUUGCAUUCCCAUCUGAAGAAAGUGGGUCAUCAUCCAUGUUAUACUAUUCCUUCAAUGCAGGGGGUAUACAUUUUGUGGUGCUCAGUGCUUACAUCUCCUAUGAUAGAUCAUCUGAUCAGUACGCAUGGUUGGAAAGGGACCUUUAUAAUGUUGACAGGAGUGUGACUCCUUGGUUGGUGGCUACUUGGUACCCUCCUUGGUACAGCACCUUCAGGGCGCAUUAUAGAGAAGCAGAAUGUAUGAGAGUAGAAAUGGAGGACCUGCUUUAUAUGUAUGGUGUUGACAUAGUUUUCAAUGGACGUGUUCAUGCAUAUGAGAGGUCAAACCGGGUAUACAAAUACUCUUUGGAUCAAUGCGGUCCAGUUUAUAUUACAGUGGGUACUGGUGGUUGUCGAGAGUCACUGGCAAUUGCUCAUGCUGAUGACCCUGAUAAUUGUCCAGAGCCAUAUGCUACACCAGACGAAGAAAUUGGUGGCUUCUGUGCGUUCAAUUUUACAUCAGGCCCUGCUGCUGGUAACUUUUGCUGGGAUCAGCAGCCUGAGUACAGCGCAUUCAGAGAAAGCAGCUUUGGCCAUGGUACACUAGAGGUGAAAAAUGAGACUCAUGCUUUAUGGAGUUGGCACCGCAAUCAAGACAUCUAUCAAGUCGCUGGCGAUAUCAUUUAUAUAGUAAGGGAACCUGAGAGGUGCCUUAUUAAUCCAAGGUGAUUAAAGACGUUCCUCGAAGGUUAGCGGUUUCUGAUAUUGGGUCCCCUUGUACAGGCAACACAGAACAUUAACUAAACUGUUCUCAGAGAAUGGUAUAUUUCUUCAUCUUUUUGGUGGAGUCAAAGAAAACUGGCCUUGAUAAUCAGCAUAUGGCUGAAUAGUGAAAUGUAGUCAAAAGAACUGCAGUCCCCAAAAGUGAUUUGAUGGGUUAAUGCAGCUGCAAAUAGCAUUAUAAAACUUUCUAUUUAUGGUUUAACCGCUAAACAAAUCCCUUUCUAGAUUCUUUAUUUUCAAAAAUGCAAAUGAAGAGCAUCAUCCAAAGAAAAAGCGAUAAGCAUCUUUGCCAACCAUUACUAUUGCAUGCCAUAAUAAUAUCAGUAGGGAAAGGCUCUAUUCAGGUAGCAAAGGCAAAGUUGCAUUCGAGUUGGCUUGAAGGACCACCUGCUAGCAACAUAAUACUAUCAAGCAUCCUUACAGCUCACCUUUAGCAGUGAUCUAGCAUGUAUGUGGUUUUUGAUCUACAAUUAGAUGUCAAGUAGAGAACUUUCUUAAUUACUAGUAUCUAAAUUAUUGCACCU